UUCUCUGUGGAGCCCACAGUCAGCCAGGUAGCUGUUCCGAGGACCACAGGUGAUGGUCCCCACAGAGUCGCUGAUAAGAACACAAGGCCCCUGAGUGAUUGGGCGGUGACAGCAUUACACGGAGUGGUUGCUAUGGCUUUGGCUUGUGCAACUCUACCUAUUGCAACCUCCAUGGUCUCUGGGAAUGCUCAUCUUCUCUGGAGAAACACACGAAUACUUGGUCUGACAGGAUACGUUUUAUGACUUACAAGUUAAUUUUUGCUGAAAGCUCAUCAAGAUCAUGACAUAAUUUGCAGUUCUCUCCCAUGUAAUAUAUUACCUCAUGAAGAAAGGAAAAUAAAAAUUAUGAAAACAGGG